GAUGAACGCUGGCGGCGUGCCUAAUACAUGCAAGUCGAGCGAACAGACGAGGAGCUUGCUCCUCUGACGUUAGCGGCGGACGGGUGAGUAACACGUGGAUAACCUACCUAUAAGACUGGGAUAACUUCGGGAAACCGGAGCUAAUACCGGAUAAUAUAUUGAACCGCAUGGUUCAAUAGUGAAAGACGGCUUUGCUGUCACUUAUAGAUGGAUCCGCGCCGCAUUAGCUAGUUGGUAAGGUAACGGCUUACCAAGGCAACGAUGCGUAGCCGACCUGAGAGGGUGAUCGGCCACACUGGAACUGGGACACGGGCCAGACUCCUACAGGAGGCAGCAGUAGGGAAUCUUCCGCAAAGGGCGAAAGCUUGACGGAGCAACGCCGCGUGAGUGAUGAAGGUCUUCGGAUCGUAAAACUCUGUUAUUAGGGAAGAACAAAUGUGUAAGUAACUAUGCACGUCUUGACGGUACCUAAUCAGAAAGCCACGGCUAACUACGUG
rnacentral:rRNA from 1 species